rnacentral:piRNA from 1 species
UAAUAACUACUAUAGAACUUCAGAGCA